rnacentral:rRNA from 1 species
UACGUAGGUCCCGAGCGUUGUCCGGAUUUAUUGGGCGUAAAGCGAGCGCAGGUGGUUUAUUAAGUCUGGUGUAAAAGGCAGUGGCUCAACCAUUUUAUGCAUUGGAAACUGGUAGACUUGAGUGCAGGAGAGGAGAGUGGAAUUCCAUGUGUAGCGGUGAAAUGCGUAGAUAUAUGGAGGAACACCGGUGGCGAAAGCGGCUCUCUGGCCUGUAACUGACACUGAGGCUCGAAAGCGUGGGGAGCAAACAGG